CAGUAGCCACGGGAACACGUAGGGUGCGAGCGUUAAUCGGAAUUACUGGGCGUAAAGCGUGCGCAGGCGGUUGUGUAAGACAGGUGUGAAAUCCCCGGGCUUAACCUGGGAACUGCGCUUGUGACUGCACAGCUAGAGUAUGGCAGAGGGGGGUGGAAUUCCACGUGUAGCAGUGAAAUGCGUAGAGAUGUGGAGGAACACCGAUGGCGAAGGCAGCCCCCUGGGCCAAUACUGACGCUCAUGCACGAAAGCGUGGGGAGCAAACAGGAUUAGAUACCCCCGUAGUCCCUGUCUCUUAUAC
rnacentral:rRNA from 1 species